AGACUCGCUACCAAUCCCCGUUGACUCGAUAGCUCAAUGGAUAGAGCGGCGGUCUAUAGAUAGCCGAAGAUGCGAGUUCAAAUCCCGCUCGAGCCAACGAAUAAUAUGAAACUGGGUUUUCGUAUCUCUGAGGAUGAUUCUGAAAUAGAAUUGAAACACUGCGCGUCCUCUAAGACAAGCGUUAAGUCGCCACGAAAAUAUUUCGUGCACUUAAAUUGGAUAAGACUCGCUACCAAUCCCCAGGGCUGCAUAAUAUAGCGGACCACGGGACCAUUGGUCCCAGAAAAAUUUUGAGGUUGGCAGAAAAAAAUGGAGCGUAAAACUUUAAAAUCUCAAAAGAAAGAAUGAAAGGAAGAAAAUGAGGAAAAAUAACAUAAUUGAAUAAUAAGCUGUAGGUAGUGAACUAGUGAUGUUUGCAACAUGCAAGUAAUACAAGUUUCCAAUAUACCGGUACAGAUGGCUCUCCAGCAGCCUGAAACUAUGCUCAAAGACAGGUAGAUAGCAGUCUAGCAGAUAUUAAGACAAAAUCCUCUAUGUGGUUUUUAUAUUUCAUCUAGUGUAUUAGCUACUUCUGAAAAUACCACUCCAAUUAUAUAUGAAUACAACUCGUUUAACAACUACAGUAUGUGGAUUAAAAAGUCUAUGUAUGAGUGUGGUGAUUUCUUAUAAUGCAGUAAAAAUCUAAGCAAUAUGUUCCAAUACACAACAGCCUUCCACCCUUCUCACAAACUUUCAUCCAUUAAUUAAUUAAGAUGAUAUUCAUAACAAAUAUAUUAAAAUUAUAAGAAUCUAGAAUCUUAAACUGCAGAGACUUUCCAGUGCAGGUCAUUUUCAUCAUUCAUUAAAAUGUAAAUGUUUGUUGUUAAAUUAAAAUAUAAAGACUAUUUAUUCGGUAGCCAUGUUGAAAUACGUCUACCUUGCUGGCAGUGGUUUCGGAGCUGAGGAGAAACCACUGCGAGCAAACAAACGACUUUCUAUUGAGCAUGCACGAAGAUCACAG